GUGGCUAGGGGUGAAAUUCCAAUCGAACCAGGAGAUAGCUAGUUCUCCCCGAUAUAGCUUUAAGGCUAGCGUCGAGGUUACAGGAUUAUGGAGGUAGAGCUCUGAAUCUAUGAUGGCCCCACCUAGGGGUACUGAGUAGAAUUAAACUACGAAUGCCAUAAUUUCAUACUCGGCAGUCAGAACAUGGGUGAUAAGGUCCAUGCUCGUGAGGGAAACAGCCCAGAUCUACAUCUAAGGUCCCUAAAUAUAUACUAAGUGUGUAAGGAUGUGAAGGUGCACAGACAGCUAGGAUGUUGGCUCAGAAGCAGCCACCAUUUAAAGAGUGCGUAACAGCUCACUAGUCGAGUGCCUUUGCGCCGAAAAUGUACCGGGGCUUAAGUAUAUUACCGAAGAUUAGGAUUCACAGCAAUGUGAGUGGUAGGGGAGCGUUCUAAGGGCGAUGAAGUCAGACCGUGAGGACUGGUGGAGCGCUUAGAAGUGAUUAUGCCGGCAUGAGUAACGUUUGGAGGUGAGAAUCCUCCAUGCCGUUUGACCAAGGUUUUCUGGGCAAGGUUCGUCCACCCAGAGUUAGUAACGACCUAAGGCGAGGCCGACAGGCGUAAUCC
rnacentral:rRNA from 1 species